UACGUAGGGUGCAAGCGUUAAUCGGAAUUACUGGGCGUAAAGCGUGCGCAGGCGGCUUUGCAAGACAGAUGUGAAAUCCCCGGGCUCAACCUGGGAACUGCAUUUGUGACUGCAAGGCUAGAGUACGGUAGAGGGGGAUGGAAUUCCGCGUGUAGCAGUGAAAUGCGUAGAUAUGCGGAGGAACACCGACGGCGAAGGCAAUCCCCUGGACCUGUACUGACGCUCAUGCACGAAAGCGUGGGGAGCAAACAGG
rnacentral:rRNA from 1 species